UCGAGGUUAGCCGGCUUCGUGUGGAGAAAGAGGCUCUGGAGAAACAGGUGACCUCCGGAGACGCCGCCAUUGAGGAGCUGGAGAAGGAGAAAAAUUCCCUUAUCCAGGAGAUGGCGGGCACCUACGAGGAGGGGUUUCAAGAAGCCCUGUCCCAGGCGUCCUGCGAGAAUCCCGGCGUCAACCUUUCAAACUGUGACCCCACACACCACGUAGUCGACGGGAAGGUCGUGCCCAUGGAUCUGAACGAUUGAACUGCUGCCCCUCAUCCGCCACCUUCCUCUUCAAGCUUAACUCUUCAUUCUUUACCUUCGCUUUUUAAUUUCAUCUGCCAACAACUUGUAAUUCUUUGAACUAUCCACACUCUUGUUAUUGAUUCGGGACACUCGCAUGGUUGUCCUUAUUUCUUUUUCACAUACGACUCCGCCUAUACGAUCUCGUUCUCAUCUUUUCCCUUUAUACGCUUUACUUAUUUUAUCUGUAUCCCGCCCGUUUCUCACACUUCGUUGGGCGGUUUGGUAUGAUGAGGUAAGGUCGCUCGCCAACCCUUACGCCCAUGGAGAGGCUCACUAAGUGUCGCCGUAUCGUCCACGGGACGACUCAGACACCGAAAGGCUCUUUCUUUGAUCUUUCAGCACUCGGCGCCCACGCCUAAGGAGAGGCCUGCCAAAGCAGCACCGUAUCGUCCCCGGGUGUCUAAAACGCUGAGUGCUGUGGGGUUUUUGUUCCCUUCAUGGUCUUUCCUGCCCAUAGGUAUCGGGGAACAUCCUGCCAGUGACUCGCUGGUGUUUGACGGUCUCGUCUCCCUCCACAGUCUUUCCUACCUGUGGGUAUCGGGGAGGCGACGCCUUCACCUAACUUUGCCUUUCUCUGAUUUCUUCUCCCUCCUCAGUCUUUCCUACCUGUGGAUAUCGGGGAGGUAACGCCAGUCGGUAUUUGGGUUGGCGACGCCCGCGACUUCUCGUCUGUCGUCGCCCUUUACGUCUUUCUUGGCAAUGCCUCGGGCAUUACCUUUACUUCGACAUUGACUUUAAUUCUUGCCUUGGCCAACGCCUGAUAACAGCGAAAAGCCUAAGGCUUUGCCUGUGCCCUCCGCGUGGCGCUUCUUGUACAGCUGAUGGGACCUUUUGUCAUUCGACUUGAUCCACGUGGCGCUGCUUAACUGGUCAGUGGGGUAUCUAGUCAUUUCAUUUUCUGACUCCUGCUGCACCCCUGGCUCAUUCUCGACGGCGCAUCGUACCACUGGACAUUCUGUUGACGGGACAUUUUCUGCUUUAAAAACAGUGGUGCCAGCGUCAUCCUUUCAUCUUCUGCCACGUGUAUCAAUCGUGCGGUGCAUCCAUUCACGUCGUUUGGCGCUCUAACCGCUUUAUUUAACUCUUCGAGCUCUGGAACUAUCUUCAUCGUUUUCUCGCUCUUCAUAACCUACUUGCGCUCUUUCUUCUUGCACCCUUUCUUCUUGCAGCCUUUCUUCUCUGUCGAAGGGCUGUCUUAACCUUCGCUCCCCUCACUCAACCCUUGCAUUUCCAGCCAUCUUGAUCCUGUUAAAGAAU
rnacentral:lncRNA from 1 species